rnacentral:rRNA from 1 species
CCUACGGGAGGCUGCAGUGGGGAAUAUUGGACAAUGGGCGAAAGCCUGAUCCAGCCAUGCCGCGUGUGUGAAGAAGGCCUUCGGGUUGUAAAGCACUUUCAGUGGGGAAGAAAGCCUUGGGGCUAAUACCCUCGAGGAAGGACAUCACCCACAGAAGAAGCACCGGCUAACUCCGUGCCAGCAGCCGCGGUAAUACGGAGGGUGCGAGCGUUAAUCGGAAUUACUGGGCGUAAAGCGCGCGUAGGCGGUCUGAUAAGCCGGUUGUGAAAGCCCCGGGCUCAACCUGGGAACGGCAUCCGGAACUGUCAGGCUAGAGUGCAGGAGAGGAAGGUAGAAUUCCCGGUGUAGCGGUGAAAUGCGUAGAGAUCGGGAGGAAUACCAGUGGCGAAGGCGGCCUUCUGGACUGACACUGACGCUGAGGUGCGAAAGCGUGGGUAGCAAACAGGAUUAGAUCCCUUGUAGUC